UGAGCGGAGAUAUAUGGAGCUUGCUUUAUAUAACUUAGCAGCGAACGGGUGAGUAACACGUAGAUAAUCUAUCCUAUACUGGGGGAUAGCCCGAUGAAAGUUGGAUUAAUACCGCAUAUAGCUAUAUAGUUGCAUGAUUAUGUAGUGAAAGAUUUAUUGGUAUAGGAGGAGUCUGCGGCACAUUAGCUAGUAGGUGAGGUAAAGGCUUACCUAGGCGACGAUGUGUAGCCGGUCUGAGAGGAUGAACGGCCACAAUGGAACUGAGACACGGUCCAUACUCCUACGGGAGGCAGCAGUGGGGAAUAUUGCACAAUGGGGGAAACCCUGAUGCAGCAACGCCGCGUGAGUGAAGAAGGUUUUCGGAUUGUAAAGCUCUGUUAGCAGGGAAGAGGAAGGACGGUACCUGCAGAGGAAGCCACGGCUAACUACGUGCCAGCAGCCGCGGUAAUACGUAGGUGGCAAGCGUUGUUCGGAAUAACUGGGCGUAAAGGAUGCGUAGGCGGUUAAACAAGUUAUAUGUUAAAUAUAUAGGCUUAACCUGUAGAAAGCAUAUAAAACUGUUUAACUAGAGUGCAGGAGAGGUAAGUGGAAUUCCUAGUGUAGCGGUGAAAUGCGUAGAGAUUAGGAAGAACACCAGUGGCGAAGGCGACUUACUGGACUGUAACUGACGCUGAGGCAUGAGAGCAUGGGGAGCAAACAGGAUUAGAUACCCUGGUAGUCCAUGCUGUAAACGAUGGGUACUAGGUGUGGGUUGUGAAUAAAAAUUCGUGCCGUCGCNAACGCAAUAAGUACCCCNCCUG
rnacentral:rRNA from 1 species